GUGGGAAGAUUCUCUCAGAGUGGUGUGGUAGCCUAGAGGUUGAGUUCUUGCCUCACAAUCAGGAGGCUGUGAGUUCAAUCCUAGGUAGAGGCAGGUAUUUCUCUCUCUGGGCACGCUGAGAAUAUAUCUGCUGAACAAAACUCCGCAUUAGUGACAGGAAGGGCAUCUGGCCAUUAAAACACUCUGCUAGCUCCAUUCAUUGCCCAGACUCAACCCCACAAAG